CCAAUUGGAAAGGCGGCGUUGAACGUCUUUGGAUUUCUUUUUGCUUCGUCUCCCCCAUUCGAGAAUGAGACAGAACCAAAAUUCUAAGAGAUGUUUCAGCUUCUUAUUGUUAAUUUAUACCAGUUACAGAUUCCCCAUCUUAAAUUCUUUCUUAAAUCAUCACUCACGAUCAACCUUGAAUGCGAGCUUUAUCAUGCAAGGAGGUGGGAUCUCGAUUAUAAAAAGGUAAGUUUUUUCUAUGAAAACCAUCUUCUCAUUCCCUCUAAACAAGACAAUAGACUUAUAUCCAGAAAAUGGCUAACCAGCGAUCUUUCUUGGUUGCAAGUUGUGAGCUUUCAAGUAUCUUGUGGAUUGACUUUUUCCUUUACGUGUGAUUUGUGAACAUUAGCUACUGAGGAUCUUGCUUUGCAAGAAAGUUUAAAGCUUUGUCUGUGACCUUGCCACACUUAUGUAAGCUAUUGGUUUUCUGACUGGUGCUUGAAGCCUUGAAGAUUUACCUCUGGUAUAUUGAUUUCUCUUUAUGAAAAAAUUAAUCUUCUAAAAGGAUGAGAGCAGUUUUCAAUUUUCAGAAAAUGAUCAUGCUGUUGGAAGCUCGAUAGAGAGCUGGAAGAUGCAGAGCAAAAGGUCACAAAAUUAGGAAGAACGAUAACAACGUGUGUGAGUGAGUUGUCUAUGAUACAAGAACCGGCAACUAAUGGGGGAAAUAAGCUAUGAGUUGAUAACAUCAAUGCUGACAGUGGUUUUCCUGAGACAGAUUAUCCUGGUGACGAUAUUCCUGGAGCUGGAGCUGUGACAACAAAGCUCUCUUAAGGUGUGACCAGGGACCUUUUGUAUACCAAGCAUAUACGGAGAAUCACAUCAUCCAUGGCACUAGGUCCAUAAAUACAAAGCACCCGGUUGUGGUCGGUGGUUCAGACACGGAAGAGACUUCUAGGUUAUUUAAUUUUUUUGUGAGAUGAUCUACCCGGGAAGACAUCAUGCCGUAUCAUUUUAUUAGAACAACACAAAUUUUCUUUUGCUGCCUUUUUGUUUGAAUUCGCUUUUGACCAUUACCUUAUGUGCAUGUUCUCCCAACAUAUCAACGAUAUUUUUUAAUUGU